rnacentral:lncRNA from 1 species
CAGAGGUUGGAACCACUCAUUCCCUGGUUGUCCUGAGGAGCCAUGAUUUCUCUAGGAGCUGGGUAAAGGGCACCGGGAUCAGUCUGUCAAAGGAUUCCAGCCGGCUGUUCCAAUCCAGGAGGAAAACUGUGCCACCAAAGUCUCCCAGCACCUGUGCAGUGAAGUGCCACUUAACCCCACUGUGAUGCACAGACCUUGCCCUGGCUGGCUGCACAGGGCUGAAUUUCACCCCUUCGGAGUGUAUUCUAAGGGCCCCCCGUGCUUCUUAUGGGCAUUCUUGGGGGUGCAGAUUGCAUCAGAUCUGCACCUGAAUAAAUAAUAGGGAAUGAAAGUUCUCCAGCCAAAUUCUCAGAAACCUUCCUUUGCAAUGUAGGAUCAGGAUUUUGGUUUGAACUGAUUUUUUUAAAAAGUGCUGAGCAGAUGCUACCCUGUAAGAAGAGGAAACAGAAGCAAAAACUGACAGACUGUUACUAAAACCAAUGAACAGCUGCAGAGACUGGAG